rnacentral:tRNA from 1 species
GGCGCGUUAGCUCAGUUAGUUAGAGCUUCGUGCUAAUAACGCGAAGGUCGAGGUUUCGAUCCCCUCACGGGCCA